UACCUCAUAAUAGGUAGACUAUGAAGGGUCCUUGUCUGUGACGCAUUCAGGCCAAAGCUCGGACCUGCGGGGCACACGGGGGCAGUGGGGAGAGGCCCCGCGGUGUGCCCACUCCACCCUCACAGUCUUGCUGACUAAGCAGCCUGUGUCUUGACUCCCCGGGGGCACCUGUCUGCGCUCUUCUCUCGGACAGGGCUCGUCAGAAGCGACAGUCAGCCGUGCUCCUCCCUGAUCAGGCCCGAGGACACCAGCUGCCUCACUGAAGGGACUAAAGCCAGGGCACAUGAUAUCUGUUUAUGUGUCUCCCUCCCUCCAUCUCCCUCUCGCUGUGGUUUUAAGAUUUAUUUCACCAGUGAGUUUGCUCCAGCUCUCCUGCAACACACAGCUUCAUUCUGAAGGAGAAGUGGUAAUACUCGCUUACACUGGGGGGCCUGGAAAAGCCUGUGAGGACCCCUGGCUAAGAACCUUCAUGCACGUCUCGCCAUUUACAUCGUGAGCACGGAGUUCUCAAAGAUCUUCAGAUUUCUGAUUUUUUUCUGAUUCCUUUAGUCUUCAUUAGUCUUCUCACCAGGGGUGUCAUUAACUAAAUCAGCCUAUAUAUUAUUAAUAUUAACAUAUAUUAUUGGUUUAUAGAUAUUAUUAUAAUAAAAUAAUAAUAGUACAUCACAGUUAAUAUUUGCUCACAUUAUAUAUACAUGUUUAUAUAGCAUUAUGUUAAAAUUAAUUAAAUUAAUAAAUAUAAAUAAACUAGCAUAACAAUACGAGUAUAUAUUACUCCUCAGAGGCAGGCCUUUGCCUUAUGUAUGGUCAGCUCUUCCUACUGACCAUAUUUUGUU